rnacentral:rRNA from 1 species
UGAAUACGAGAUGCUACGGCGUCGAAGCAGUCUAUGUCAUACUUCCAAGAAAAGCUCGCACUGUCAUAAACAAAUAAUGCCUGUACCAUAACCGACACAGGUGGGUAGGUAGAGUAUACUAAGGGGCGCGAGAUAACUCUCUCUAAGGAACUCGGCAAAAUGACUCCGUAACUUCGGGAGAAGGAGUGCCUUAUUUAUAAGGUUGCAAUAACAAGAUCCAAGCAACUGUUUAUCAAAAACACAGGUCUCCGCUAAGUCGUAAGACGAUGUAUGGGGGCUGACGCCUGCCCAGUGCCAGAAGGUUAAAGAAGUUGGUUAGCAUUCGCGAAGCUGAUAACUGAAGCCCUGGUGAACGGCGGCCGUAACUAUAACGGUCCUAAGGUAGCGAAAUUCCUUGUCGGGUAAGUUCCGACCCGCACGAAAGGCGUAAUGAUUUGGAUACUGUCUCGGAGAGGGGCUCGGUGAAAUAGACUUGUCUGUGAAGAUGCGGACUACCUGCACCAGGACAGAAAGACCCUAUGAAGCUUUACUGUAACUUGAGAUUGAAAUUGGACUUUACUUGCGCAGUAUAGGUGGGAGGCGUUGAUAAUAUUCUUGCGGGACUAUUUGAGCCAUCAGUGAGAUACCACUCUUGUAAUGUUAGAUUUCUAACUUUGUAUCAUUAUCUGGUCAAAGGACAGUUUCAGGCGGGCAGUUUGACUGGGGCGGUCGCCUCCUAAACGGUAACGGAGGCGCACAAAGGUUUCCUCUGAACGGGUAGAAAUCGUAUCUAGAGUGUAAAGGCAUAAGGAAGCUUGACUGUGAGACCUACAAGUCGAGCAGGGACGAAAGUCGGUCUUAGUGAUCUGACGGUGCUGAGUGGAAAGGCCGUCACUCAACGGAUAAAAGUUACUCUAGGAUAACAGGCUGAUCUCCCCCAAGAGUUCACAUCGACGGGGAGGUUUGGCACCUCGAUGUCGGCUCAUCGCAUCCUGGGGCGGUAGUACGUCCCAAGGGUUGGGCUGUUCGCCCAUGAAAGCGGUACGCGAACUGGGUUCAGAACGUCGUGAGACAGUUCGGUCCAUAUCCGGUGUAGGCGUUAGAAUAUUGAGAGGAGCCUUCUUUAGUACGAGAGGACCGAGAAGGACAUACCUCUGGUGUACCAGUUAUCGUGCCAACGGUAAACGCUGGGUAGCUAUGUAUGGAGUGGAUAACCGCUGAAAGCAUCUAAGUGGGAAGCCCACCUCAAGAUAAGUAUUCUCU